GAUCAGCACAGCUGAAUGAUCCAGUAGAUCACAGAUGCACCAUGAAUGACUGCUGAACAGUUACCUGCAUUUUUCAUGGACACUACGUUUGGACACCCAACCUGCAGUUAAACUGCCACAGGCCUGAUAUGUGGAAGUUGCUAAUGCUCCCAACUAUUGCUGAAGUUGAGAAGGUGAGGAAUGUUUUUUAAUUCCCUCCAAAGGACCAAGCCUCACAAGCCCAUCUUAGGAAGAGGCUGAACCAUUUGACAGAACAAAGAAUUCUUCAGGAUGACAAUUUGAAAGACAGUAUUUCAUUUUCAGGGAAUUUGAUCUAGGGUGAGCUAGACUUCUACCCCAUCCUACAGCAAGAUACCACAUAUUCCAGCAAACUGACAGGCUUAGAACCAAAAGCACAAAAGAUGAAAAAUACUGUGCUAACAUGACAUUGUACUUUACUGUUGUUGAUUUGCUCUAGAUGUUACAGAAACACUCCAGUGAAAGGUAUGUUUAUCUGUCCACUUAUGACAGGAGCUAGAUACAAAAAGGAAGCUAUAUGAACAAAUGCAGGUGAACAAAUGCAGUGGAAAUAGAAGAGGAACUCUGGCAGAAGAAGAAUACACUUCAUUCUCCAGUUUGAUUUAAGUCCUGUAGAAGGCAACUAACCAACAAGGAGAAGCUAAUGAAGAACAGUUUUUCCUGUUUCUACAAAAAUGCAGUUUGAUACUGAAACCACCAGGGUCAACCAACAGCAGCAUGCUAUUAACCUUGCCAUGCUGCCGGCACAGCCAGGGGAAGGAGUUCAGCCCUGUUAAGUAGCCCACAGCAGAGGCUGUGCUCAUCUGCUCACCCAGGAGAGGCAUCUCCCAGCUCACACUCUUUCCUGACCAAUCACCAGCACAAGGGUGUGGAGCACGGGGGCAAGGAGAGCAGCCAGGCAGCCAAAGAUGAUGUGUUCAGGUGAUUUUUUUUUUUUUUUCCAUUCCUCUAUCCACCAGCUACCUUCUCCAGAGGUGAUAACCCACAGGCUGAUGCUCUUCAAAGUCAAGUUGGACAAAGUGUCCAGUUCAGGACCUUUUGGGUUCUCUGCUGGAUUUUUUUUCUAGGCAAGAAUUUCAGGAGCAGAAUCUUGCACAGAAAAAAAAAUACCAAAAAAUGAACAACCACUGUGACUGCACAAAAUAAACAACUUUGAAUAUA